rnacentral:rRNA from 1 species
AUUGAACGCUGGCGGCAUGCCUUACACAUGCAAGUCGAACGGUAACAGGUUAAGCUGACGAGUGGCGAACGGGUGAGUAAUGUAUCGGAACGUGCCCAGUCGUGGGGGAUAACUACUCGAAAGAGUGGCUAAUACCGCAUACGACCUGAGGGUGAAAGCGGGGGACCGUAAGGCCUCGCGCGAUUGGAGCGGCCGAUAUCAGAUUAGCUAGUUGGUGGGGUAAAAGCCCACCAAGGCGACGAUCUGUAGCUGGUCUGAGAGGACGACCAGCCACACUGGGACUGAGACACGGCCCAGACUCCUACGGGAGGCAGCAGUGGGGAAUAUUGGACAAUGGGCGAAAGCCUGAUCCAGCCAUGCCGCGUGUGUGAAGAAGGUCUUCGGAUUGUAAAGCACUUUAAGUUGGGAGGAAGGGUUGUAGAUUAAUACUUUGCAAUUUUGACGUUACCGACAGAAUAAGCACCGGCUAACUCUGUGCCAGCCGCCGCUGUAAGAC